CCUUAAGCGUGGUGACGCGCAAAGUGUGUGCCCGCCAUAGCAAUCGCGGCCGCCGCGGGGUGUGCGGGGCCGAGCGCAGGGGCCGGGGGGGGGCAGCGGCGGCGACUCAGCGGCGCAUCGGGCAGGCUAAGCCAUGACUUCAGGAUCUGGGCAUGUGGACUCCAAGGCUGAGCUCACUGCUUUGCUUGAGCAAUGGGAGAAAGAACAUGGCAGCGGGCAAGACAUGGUCCCUAUUCUCACCAGGAUGUCCGAGCUGAUUGAGAAAGAGACUGAAGAGUACCGCAAAGGGGAUCCAGACCCAUUUGAUGACCGACACCCAGGUCGAGCGGACCCAGAGUGCAUGCUUGGUCACUUACUGAGGAUACUUUUCAAGAAUGAUGAUUUCAUGAACGCGCUAGUGAAUGCUUAUGUGAUGACAAGCAGAGAACCUCCAUUAAACACUGCUGCCUGCCGACUUCUUCUGGAUAUCAUGCCGGGACUGGAAACAGCUGUUGUCUUUCAGGAAAAGGAAGGCAUAGUUGAAAAUCUCUUCAAGUGGGCGCGAGAGGCUGAUCAGCCACUAAGGACAUAUGCAACGGGGCUGUUAGGAGGAGCUAUGGAAAACCAAGAUAUUGCUGCAAAUUACAGGGACGAGAACUCACAAUUGGUGGCUUUGGUGCUUCGACGGCUACGAGAGUUACAGGUUACUGAAAUGACUACAAAACAAGAAAACAAGCGUCCCAGUCCUCGGAAAGUGCCAUCAGAUCCUCUGCUGCCUCUAGAUGAAGAGGCUGUGGAUAUGGAUUAUGGGGAGAUGGCAGUAGAUGGAGAGCAAGAGGAGGUUUCUGGUGAUAUGGAGAUCUCCUUUCAUCUUGAUUCAAGUCACAAGACCAGUAGCAGAGUAAACUCUGCUACAAAGCUAGAUGAUGGGGGACUGAGAAAAAGCAAAUCAGGGAAACAGCAUGAAAGAGAUGGCUUCCGGAAGGCCAAGCAAAAGCUGGGCUUCUCUGCUUCGGAACCAGAGCGGAUGUUUGUUGAACUGUCCAACAGCAGCUGGUCUGAAAUGUCCCCGUGGGUGAUUGGCACUAAUUAUACACUUUACCCUUUGACUCCCGCCAUAGAGCAGAGGCUAAUUCUUCAGUACCUGACUCCCUUAGGGGAGUACCAAGAGCUACUACCCAUCUUUAUGCAACUGGGAUCAAGGGAGCUGAUGAUGUACUACAUUGAUUUGAAGCGAACCAACGAUGUGCUGCUCACUUUUGAAGCCCUUAAGCAUUUGGCAUCAUUGCUGCUGCACAACAAGUUUGCAACGGAGUUUGUUGCUCAUGGAGGAGUGCAAAAGUUGCUGGAGAUUCCUCGUCCUUCCAUGGCAGCAACAGGGGUCUCCAUGUGCUUAUAUUAUUUGUCUUACAAUCAAGAUGCCAUGGAGAGGGUGUGCAUGCACCCCCAUAAUGUGCUUUCAGAUGUAGUAAACUAUACCUUAUGGCUAAUGGAGUGCUCCCAUGCCUCGGGCUGCUGCCAUGCUACCAUGUUCUUCUCCAUUUGCUUCUCCUUCCGUGCUGUCCUGGAGCUCUUUGACAGGCAUGAUGGCCUUCGACGCCUGGUUAACCUGAUAAGCACUCUUGAGAUCUUAAACCUGGAAGACCAAGGAGCCCUCCUGAGUGAUGAUGAGAUCUUUGCCAGUCGCCAGACUGGGAAACACACCUGCAUGGCCUUGCGUAGAUACUUUGAGGCUCACCUUGCUAUCAAACUUGAACAGGUGAAGCAGUCACUCCAGCGUACUGAAGGAGGCAUUCUGGUCCAUCCACAGCCCCCCUACAAGGCCUGUUCGUAUACACAUGAGCAGAUUGUAGAGAUGAUGGAGUUCCUGAUAGAGUAUGGUCCAGCACAGCUCUACUGGGAGCCAGCAGAAGUUUUUCUUAAAUUGUCUUGUGUCCAACUCAUGCUUCAGCUCAUUUCCAUAGCAUGCAACUGGAAGACUUACUAUGCAAGGAAUGACACAGUACGGUAUGCUUUGGAUGUACUAGCUAUCCUGACUGUGGUUCCUAAGAUCCAGUUGCAGCUGGCAGAACCUGUGGAUGUGUUAGAUGAAGCUGGAUCUACUGUUUCCACUGUGGGUAUUAGUAUCAUCCUUGGAGUUGCUGAGGGUGAAUUUUUCAUCCAUGAUGCUGAGAUUCAGAAAUCAGCCCUUCAGAUCAUCAUCAAUUGUGUAUGUGGCCCAGACAAUCGGAUCUCCAGUAUUGGCAAAUUCAUCUCUGGAACUCCUCGGCGAAAGCUUCCUCAGGCCCCCAAGAGCAGUGAGCACACGUUAGCUAAGAUGUGGAAUGUGGUACAGUCCAACAAUGGCAUCAAAGUGCUGCUGUCAUUGCUCUCUAUAAAGAUGCCAAUCACAGACGCAGAUCAGAUCCGAGCAUUAGCCUGCAAAGCCUUGGUGGGGCUCUCACGGAGCAGUACUGUCCGGCAGAUUAUCAGCAAGCUUCCCCUCUUCAGCAGCUGUCAAAUUCAGCAGCUGAUGAAAGAACCAGUGCUUCAGGACAAGCGCAGCGAGCAUGUGAAGUUCUGCAAAUACGCUGCUGAGCUGAUAGAGCGUGUCUCGGGGAAGCCAUUGCUGAUUGGCACAGACGUCUCUCUGGCUCGGUUGCAAAAAGCUGAUGUGGUGGCCCAAUCAAGGAUCACGUUUCCUGAGAAGGAGCUGCUGCUCCUGAUUCGGAACCAUCUCAUCUCUAAGGGCCUAGGAGAAACUGCAUCUGUCCUCACUAAAGAGGCUGACCUACCCAUGACUGCAGCAUCUCAUUCAUCUGCCUUCACCCCUGUUGCGGCUGCUGCCUCUCCUGUGACCCUGCCUCGCACUCCUCGCAUAGCUAACGGCAUCUCAGCCCGUUUGAGUAGCCACGCUUCUGUAGGUUCCACUGCCGCCUCUGUCCAUGCUCAGGCAAGGCCAUCUGCAUCCCAAGGUCCACUUGCCCUUCCAGGCCCUUCUUAUGCCAGCAACUCUCCUCUGAUUGGCAGGAUUAGCUUUGUCAGGGAGAGGCCAUCUCCCUGCAAUGGCAGAAAAAUCAGAGUGUUGCGACAAAAAUCGGACCAUGGCGCCUACAGCCAGAGCCCAGCUAUCAAAAAGCAGCUGGACAGACACCUUCCUUCCCCACCCACGCUGGACAGUAUAAUCACAGAGUACCUUAGGGAGCAGCAUGCCCGCUGCAAGAACCCUGUUGCCACCUGUCCCCCUUUCUCUCUCUUUACUCCCCACCAGUGUCCUGAGCCAAAACAGAGGCGCCAAGCGCCAACUAACUUUACCUCACGGCUGACCCGCAGGGCAGCCUUUCCGAAGUACGGAGGGGUGGAUGGUGGCUGCUUUGAUAGACACCUUAUAUUUAGCAGGUUCCGUCCAAUUUCUGUGUUCAGGGAAGCAAAUGAGGAUGAGAGUGGCUUUACCUGUUGUGCGUUUUCUGCAAGAGAACGAUUCUUAAUGCUGGGUACUUGCACGGGGCAGUUGAAACUCUAUAACGUAUUCAGUGGACAGGAGGAGGCCAGUUACAACUGCCAUAACUCUGCCAUCACGCACCUUGAGCCAUCCAGGGAUGGAUCUUUAUUGCUGACAUCUGCUACGUGGAGCCAACCUCUGUCUGCAUUGUGGGGAAUGAAGUCUGUCUUUGAUAUGAAGCAUUCCUUCCCUGAUGACCACUACGUGGAGUUCAGCAAGCACUCUCAGGAUAGGGUCAUUGGCACAAAAGGAGACAUUGCCCAUAUCUAUGAUAUUCAGACUGGCAACAAGCUAUUGACUCUGUUUAACCCAGAUCUUGCCAACAACUACAAGAAGAACUGUGCCACCUUUAACCCCACUGAUGACCUUGUCCUAAAUGAUGGUGUCCUCUGGGAUGUCAGAUCGGCACAAGCCAUCCACAAGUUUGACAAAUUCAACAUGACCAUCAGUGGUGUUUUCCAUCCCAAUGGGCUAGAGGUCAUAGUCAACACAGAAAUUUGGGACCUCCGAACUUUCCAUUUGUUACACACAGUACCUGCACUGGAUCAGUGUCGUGUGGUCUUCAACUAUACUGGCACAGUUAUGUAUGGAGCUAUGUUGCAGGCAGAUGACGAAGAUGACCUUCUGGAGGAGAGAAUGAGAAGUCCUUUUGGCUCUUCUUUCAGGACAUUUAAUGCAACUGAUUAUAAACCUAUAGCUACCAUAGAUGUAAAGCGGAAUAUCUUUGACUUGUGCACAGACAGCAAGGACUGCUAUCUGGCUGUCAUUGAGAAUCAAGGGAGCAUGGAUGCCAUGAACAUGGAUACAGUUUGCAGACUGUAUGAAGUGGGCAGGCAGCGUUUGGCAGAAGAUGAAGAGGAUGAAGAAGAAGAUCAGUAAAUCAUAUAUUUGUAUCUCCUGUGAGAAAAGCUGACUUCACCUUUUUCCAAAGAAUGCCAGAAGUGAGGCAGACCGGGAAUUUCAGAGGAAAUGAUGCAAAGGAAAGUGAACGUACUGAUCUGACCUAGAAAUGACAUAUAGCAGUUGCUACGGACUAGAAAAGGAGACUUCAGAAAUACUAAGUGAUCAGAAAAGCUAAAACUAAGAACUGAAGAACUGUUAAUUAUCCUGCAGUGCUUCUGGGCUAUCGAAAUGGUGAUGGUAGGUGUGUAAUUUGUCUUCUUGCAUUGGUUUAGAAAAUUCUAGGUGAUGUGAAAUGAAAGCUUUGGAGAUAAGGCAAUAAAGACUCAAAAGACAAUCACCAUUCUAACGUGGUUUAACCAAGAUGGAGAAUGUUUUUCCUCAGCUUUCUAUGUGAUCUUUGUGAUCCCAAUGUCUACUUCUAUUUUAGGACUCUCCCCCUAUCUGCCUGCAACAGCAAUUCCACUGUACUUUUAUUGCUGUUGGUUUGGUAGAGGUUUGUUUUCAUGCGGCUACUUAUUUGUUGGGGAAAAACCCCACAAACCUUAAUCCGUACUGGCACAUGUAUUUGAGAACCACCAGACCAUAGUGGUGCUUUGUCACUACAAGCUGCCUAGAAUGAUUUAUGCCAUCAGAGACCCUUAAUUUUUCAGGAGCUGUUCCUGUAACAUUUGAAGAUAUGGUUUGUUUUGAAAUCUUGCUGGAGAUUAAAUGUUUACAGGAUAAUAGCUGGGAACAAUUAUUUUCAGACAAAAGUGUCAACUGAUAAUAAUAUACAUGUGUUUAUUGCACACCUUAAUAGGAAUCUUUGAACUUAGUUGCAGCCGGGGCGGCUAAGUAAAGAGUGAUUUCCAUCAAAGACCUAUUUACAUAACAGGCAGAUCUUUUGAACAGGCAUCCUCCAAAACAGAUAUUUCAAAAAAUAAUAAAAAAAGUUUUCCUAGUACCUGUACUUACCACGUUUUUAGAUAGUAGCAAAUAACUGUGACUGCUUCAGCCUAUUUUGCUGUUUCAGAAUCUAGUUUCACUAGCUGUCAGUGCAAACAGAGGAAAUUCUUGGAAAGGCAAAAGUAAUUGGAGUUUUCAGAAGGCCAGACUUAGUAUUAUGGAUUAAAACAGUGUUCAGUGACACAAAUCAAAGGAUGACUUCCUCUCACCUAACACAUCUUUCUAGAAUUCCCAGAGUAGUUGGGGUCCAAGAAAAUAAAAGCUGCCUCAGCUGUGAUGAGAAAUGUCAGUCAGAAGCUUGAGAAAAUAAAGGAACAAAUUCUUGUCCAUAGAGGGAGAGUUCAUUUACCUGCCAAAUUUUGAAAUUCCUUUACACACUGUUGUUUUUGUCAUACAAUUAAAGGAAUGGGCUUAUUUUUGUGAGUGAGAGUGUGAGAUCAAUGAGAGGAAGGAAGAGAAGCAGAUUCAGAAACUGCACCUGGUUCUGGGUUCCUUAUAUUAUUUCUGAGCCCUACAGCACAGAGAAUAUAAUAGUCAAAUUAGAACACAUUUAUCCCUAGCAUUAAGGAGUAUGUCAGCUGUGAAAUGGUGACUUGCACAUGCCUCAAAGAGGAUAGUGACUGUGAAGUUAGAUUGUGUAUCAUCAGGUACGUACAGUCAUGUUAAAAUGAAAACAUUUCAUAGGCAAAACCAGACUAUUGGUCAAAAGAGUCCCAGCUGAACAUGCCAAUCCAACAGAGGCCCUGUUACUUUAAAGUUUUUGUUUAUCUGUGUCAUGGAUGCUUUUUCAUUCAUCACAGGUAAGUAGUCAUUGUUAGACAAGCUAAACCUACUGACAUAGACUAAGAGAAUAACUGCUUUUUUAUUUCUUCACUCCAUGUUUUGCCUCUGUGACAUACUGUAUGCUGUGUGCUGUUUCCUGUAUUAAAUCUGCACAUAC